rnacentral:rRNA from 1 species
CCUACGGGAGGCUGCAGUGGGGAAUAUUGGACAAUGGGGGGAACCCUGAUCCAGCCAUGCCGCGUGUGUGAAGAAGGCCCUCGGGUUGUAAAGCACUUUCAGUGAGGAAGAACGCCUGGUGGUUAAUACCCAUCAGGAAAGACAUCACUCACAGAAGAAGCACCGGCUAACUCCGUGCCAGCAGCCGCGGUAAUACGGAGGGUGCGAGCGUUAAUCGGAAUUACUGGGCGUAAAGCGCGCGUAGGUGGCUUGAUAAGCCGGUUGUGAAAGCCCCGGGCUCAACCUGGGAAUGGCAUCCGGAACUGUCAAGCUAGAGUGCAGGAGAGGAAGGUAGAAUUCCCGGUGUAGCGGUGAAAUGCGUAGAGAUCGGGAGGAAUACCAGUGGCGAAGGCGGCCUUCUGGACUGACACUGACACUGAGGUGCGAAAGCGUGGGUAGCAAACAGGAUUAGAUACCCCAGUAGUC